AUCCAGCUGACGAGUCCAAAAUAGGACGAAACGCGUGUCCUGGAU
rfam:Schistosoma mansoni strain Puerto Rico chromosome 3, complete genome